ACGGAGACCUGCGACCAGCCGACCAGCCCCCUCGUCGUCUCCCUCGCUGCACAGCCCCCGCCACCAGCCCCCUCGUCCCUCGAUCCCCCUCGCGCAACUGCAACCUGCGAGCCGGUCCGCCACCGCCAGAUCCUCCCAAACUCGACCCCCGGUGUGCACAGGCUCCUCCGACCUCCCCCACUCCUCGCCGUCCCCGUCCCCGAUGCGCCGCUCCCGCGCUCCACGCCGUCCCCAUCCACGACGCGCCACUCCCCUGCUCCGGAUCAUCGGUCGCCCUCCCCCGCCGUCGUCGCCCUCCCCCGCUGCCUUCUCCUCGACCGGGGUGCCCCUCUCCGCGCGCCACCGCUUCAGCUUUCCUAGGUUUAAUGUUGCUCAUUGCGAUGCUGGUGCAACUGCUGAAUGGAACGAAUGCUCCUGAACUUAUUAAUGACCUGCAUACCAAUAUCCUUGACUCCAUCAAACAAGUAAGAACAGAGGAGAAAAAAGGACCAGAGAAUUAAUAUGAGUCUAGCUAGGACCUAAGAACGAUUCCUGUAUAUUCAAGAAAGAUAGUCCUACAACUGAGAACGAAUUAUUCUCCAUUUUGACUUGCACCUAUUCUGCCCACAUGUAUUUGAUUAAAAAUUAACCUUAUUCUCAAAACGUCUAGAAAGAGUCAUUUGACAAGGAAACAGAUAAUGAUCAUGCCUAGGAACCCCUUCAUGAAGCAAGUUUUUUAGGUGGUAACUGCGCUUGCUGACCUUAAUUGUCUCAUUCCUUUUCAUUGUUUCAGGUGCACACAAAUAAUCUGGAAAGAGUGUGUUAAGUAUCGAUGCCAUCUGCUAUGCGUGAUUUGUGGCAUAGCUUGGGCCUGACCAAAGGAUGACACUUCUCCUGAAACAUCUUUGCAACCUUAAUAUGAAACUUAUAAUCAUAAUCAGUGCUAUAUAAAUUAUUUUCUUGUUCAAAGGUUUACAGCAAAAUAAACAGAGAGAUAUGGGGAAAUCACUUUUGUGAACCAUAAUUAUUAACUUAUAAAUAUAAUCUCAAUUUGUCUACA